rnacentral:rRNA from 1 species
GAUGAACGCUGACAGAAUGCUUAACACAUGCAAGUCUUUGGCGAAGCUGUGCUUGCACAGCCUAGCCAAGGCGGACGGGUGAGUAACGCGUAAGGGACUUGCCCUGCAGUCAGGGAUAACAGACGGAAACGACUGAUAAAACCUGGUAAAGUCAGACGGACUCAUGUCCAGCCUGAUGAAAAGGAAUGCUGCAGGAGAGCCUUGCGUCCUAUUAGCUUGUUGGUGGGGUAACGGCCCACCAAGGCGAUGAUAGGUAGCCGGCCUGAGAGGGUGGACGGCCACAAGGGGACUGAGAUACGGCCCUUACUCCUACGGGAGGCAGCAGUGGGGAAUAUUGGACAAUGGGGGCAACCCUGAUCCAGCAAUUCUGUGUGCACGAUGAAGGUCUUCGGAUUGUAAAGUGCUUUCAGCAGG